UACGGAGGGUGCAAGCGUUGUCCGGAUUUAUUGGGUUUAAAGGGUGCGUAGGCGGCCUAUUAAGUCAGGGGUGAAAGACUGCAGCUCAACUGUAGCAGUGCCUUUGAUACUGAUGGGCUUGAGUCUAGAUGAGGCCGGCGGAAUGGGUGGUGUAGCGGUGAAAUGCAUAGAUACCAUCCAGAACACCGAUUGCGAAGGCAGCCGGCUAAACUAGCACUGACGCUGAGGCACGAAAGCGUGGGGAUCGAACAGG
rnacentral:rRNA from 1 species